AAAAGAUCGCACGGCGCAGAGGCGGCAGCGGAUUUCUCGCGCGCGCGUUUCGACGAAAGAAUCGCGCAUGGAACGCGAUCGUGCGCUCUCUCCCUUUCUUUUUUUCUCUUUCUCUCUUUUAUCUCUAUAUACAGGACCGCGCGACUCUCCGCGUUCGUUUAGAAUCGUCGUGAAACAACGUGAAAAAUGAUAUAUACUCGAACGUCUACGUUCGCUCGUGAAUGAGCGAGAAAAAAAACAAAGAAAUCGCUUGACGAUCGACGUAGACGAUCGUGGCGCCUCUUUUGUUAGAACGAAAAUGGGCGAUAACAUUUAAUCGUGAAAUCGUUACAUUCGAGGCUUCUUUUACGGUAAACUACGUAAGAACGAACGCCUGGGAACGCGAUGCGUUGCGAAAGGCGAAUGCACUGCUGUCGCUUCGACGCAAAAAGCUCAUAUAUGCAUUUAGCACAAUGGCAUAGAGGUGCGAUAGAGGCGAUAUUACCUGACGUCGUGUUUUCGCCACGUGACGAUCGAUUUCGUCGUCGCCUAUGACGUCGAUCGAGCGCGCGUGCUGACAGCUGACGAACGUUAACUCGCAAUCGCUCGCUCGUCGAGGCUCGUAAACUCGUUAUCAGGAAUGGUAAAGAGGUGGUGGUUAAAUUUGUAGUUUGGAUUUGUAGAGAAACGUUGCAGACUCUCCCUAAGAGUCUUCCGUAAAAUAUGAGAAGAAGGAAAAGGCGGCUUUUAAAAGGUCCCCUUUAAAAUAAUCCGCAUUGGUUAGCGUUUGGUCAAAGGUAGCUUGGUCGAGUCCCCACCCGGAAGGAACAACUUACGAGGAAAAAAUUCGAGACCGAGUUUGACAUCGGAGUCGUCGCUAUCUACAGAGAGAGAGAGAGAGAGAGAGAGAGAGAGCGAGAGAGAGGGCCUACAUUUUCGACGAGAGGACAAAACUCGUCGGAAUAAUGGACCGAGAGGUCGUUAGGAAAAUGGAGUAACUCUGACGCCUACUAGGAAAAGGAGAAAAGAAAAAGUGUUUGGAUUUAAUAGAACGUUUUAUCUUUGCCACCCUAUCUAUGUUCGCUUUGCCAAUCGGAUCGGAUGAGAUAUUCAGCACCACCGAUGCCAAAGCUUUUUUAUUUCAUACACGUUAUUGUAACCGACAAGGGAAUCUACGAUCUAAGAGCGAGAGCGGAAGAGAGGAAGUAAGAGAGAAAGUUUCCUUCGAGGUAAGAAUUAUAGCAGCGGUAUCUCAUUCUCCCGUUCUCCGGUGUUCACUCUUCGGUCCACCUCCUUGACUCCUCGGUACUGCCAAGUUGGCUUAUCGGUGAGCACCUUUUUAUACUCGAACGAAACGGCACCUUUGUACGUUCGUCCAACGCUCGUAUUUCUUUUUCGUCCGACUGAUUUCUCUCAUCCCUUCUGGCCGCAUUUAUGUAAUUUCCUGUCUCGUUGCCAAUUC